CUGGGAUUCACUGGAACCCCUCUGUGGCCUUGUCACUGCGCUGGGACACCGGACUUUCUGAAAGAACAGGCCAGGUCUUGUCAUUGAAUCUGGGAGGCAGAAGUAAAGAGAAAAGAUCAUGGCCUUUGCAGUUGAUGCUGCCUUUUGAAACAUGGCCCGAUGGUGGGUGCAACUGUAGGGGUGGAGUCCAGACUGCGAGGCUGGGCCAUCUGCAGGGACCAGCACAGGACAAUCAGGUGUCAGGACGUGGGCACGUGGCUCCGGACCUGGGGAUCGGUGGCUGAGGGCAGCCUCCAGCUGCUGCCACAGCAAUGUCACCAGGCUGUACAGGAAGCAUGACGGCUUCUGGGGAGGCCUCGGGAAACUUACAAACAUGGCGGAAGGUGAAGGGGAAGCAGGCACGUCCUACACGACUGGAGCAGGAAGGAGAGAGCGAAGGGGAAAGUGCCACAUACUUUUAAAUAACCAGAUUUCGUGAGAACUCAUGAGACAGCACCAGGGGGACAGUGCUAAACCAUUAGAAGCCACCCCCACGAUCCAAUCACCUCCCACCAGGCCCCACCUCCAACACUGGGGAUUACAAUUCAACAUGAGAUUUGGUUGGGGACACAGAUUCAAACCAUGUCAUGGGUAAUAACAAGAGUCUGGGUCCAUUGCUAUGACUUACCUUUGACCUCUAGCGGGGAGCAAGGCUCUUUGGGGAGCAAGGGCUCUAGGGGGCUGAGACUGGAAGAAAUCCAAAGCUAGGGUGGCUCUGAGUCCAGGUGGCUCUGGACUUCUUACAAGCCAGUCCUCAUCACUCCAACCCUCUGUUGUUAUAAUAGUAAUAAUAUUCCUUAUAGAAUAAUAAUCCUUUAUAUUAAAUUCUCUCUGUUCACAUUACAGUGUGGUUUCAAUCUCUUGGUUGGACCCUGAUAAAGCCUACAUAAACUGUCUCAUUCCUGGCUUGGUACAGGCUGUUCCCAUGGCCAGUUUCACUUGCCUAAGUGAAGGUGGAGUGGUUAAGGGCACAGGCAUUAGAGCCAGACUGCCUGGGUUCAGUUCCCAAGCCCAGCACUGGCUGGUGAGAAGCCAUUCGACUUCUUUAUGCCUUGAUUUCCCUACCUGUAAGAUGGGGAUAAUAGGAUUGUUGUGGAAAUUUUAUGAGUUCUUAUAUGUAAAGCACUUGGCACAAAAUAAGUGUUAAAUAAGUGUUUGGUAUUAUUGUUGUUGACUUCCUUCCAUUCACUCGUAGGGGUUUCAGCAACAGGGUCACCUCUCCUGGGAAGUCCUCCCUGACUACCUCCCAUCCCAGCUGAGUUGGCUGCCCUCCUCCUAUGCUCCCUCACACAUCUUCACAGCACUGAACUCACGUGUUGUCACUGCAGGUGUACUUGUCAGUCUCUUCGGUAGAACUCUGAGCUGGCUGAGGGUACUCACAGCAAGUGUCCCCAGGACCUCACACUGCACCUGACUGAGUGAGGAGUAACCGUGUUAGUGGAGGUCCUCUGAGAACCAGACACAAAGACAGGAUUGCAUGAGUAAGAGCCAUAUUGGGGGAACCGCCUGUGAAGGACAAAGAAGGAGGGGAUAGAAGGCAGGGAGAUCCUUCAGACCACAGUACAGGUGUGACAUCUGUGGAGGAGUGGGGAGGAUGGGCCUCAGACUUCAGAGCAGUUCUGAGAAAGGCUUGCCCAGGCCACUGGGGAGUUCUCGAGCCACAGUCACCUACUGGAGGAGUCCCACGAUCCACUUGCAGCAGUACUGUCCCCACGCUCCAUCGCUGGUGGAAAGCAGCCUGUGGAGGCAAAGCAUGGGUGGACGGAGAGAAACAGCAGCUGGGGCUGUCAGUCAAAUCCGCUCCGCAGCAGGUCUGAGUGGCACAUUUUCAUGGGCACCACAGUAACCGACAGACAGAAGGCUGGCCAUGCCCCAAGAAUGCAGGGCCAGAAGCAGGGAUGCCAGAAUCUGUCACCUUGAUGCAGGGAGAGGGUGGAGGUCCAGGGUACCUCUGAGUAGGCCUUCAUGCUUACACACAGUCACACGCUGCAUGAUGACAUUCAGUCGGCGAGGAACCACGUAUAUGACAGUGUCCCAUGAGAUUAAUACUACUGUAUUUUUACUUUUCUAUGUUUUGAUACACAAAUCCUCACCAUUGCGUUACAGCUACCCACAGUAUUCAGCACAACAACGUGCUUUACAGGUUUGGGGCCCAGUAGCAAAGGUGACACCAUCUAGCCUGGGUGUGUAGGAGGCUGUGCCAUCCAGGUUUGUGUAAGUACACUAUGAUGUUCACACAAAGAUGGAAUUGCCUUCCAAGGCAUUUCUCAGAACAUAUCCCUGUCGUUAAGUGAUGCGUGACCGUAAAUAUAUAUAGUGCUAAGUCCUUAUUAUUUGAAUUCAUAAAAUCACUUAAAAUUCCCCUAUAACACAACUACUUUACAUUUUGUGAAUUUCCUCCUAGGUUUUACCAUGUUUACAUUAUUGCAAUCACCAUGCAGAUUGUACCUCAUUUUUAAAAAAAGAUUUGAUAUUUAUAACUAGUAUUUCCCCAUGCUUCUACUGUAGUCUUCAUAAUUAUACUUUUUAAUGGCUGAAAAUGUUCAACAAGUGGAUACUUCCAAAGUCACUGCUAUUCAACAUUUCCAUUAUUGUCAUUUUGUUGUAUUUAUAUCUAAUGCUUUUAUGUACCUCUUUGGGCAUGUAGUAUUCAGUUUCUAUGGGGUUACAGCCCUAGGAAAUACAUAGGUUUGAAAUUACUGGGUCAAAAGAUAAACUUUUAUGAUUGUAUCAAGUUUUGCCAAAUUGCUUUCCAAAAACAUUAUGCCAGUUAAUAAAGAGUAUGAGUUAUCUAUUUCUGCAUACCAAGUUACCACACCAAAUGGCUUACUACAACAUGGAUUUAUUGUCUUCUUGUUUCUGUGGGUCAGGAAUCCAGGCACAGGUUAGCUGCUUCUCUGCUCCAGGGGCUCUCAAGGCUGCAGUGAAGGUGCUGGCUGAGGCUGGGGUGCUAUGAUUUGGCUUUGUGUCCCCACCCACAUCUCAUCUUGAAUUGUAAUCCCAUAAUCCCUAUGUAUCACGGGAGGGACCUGGUAGGAGGUAACUGAAUCAUGGGGAUGGUUUCCCCAUGCUGUUCUCAUGAUAGCGAGUGAGUUCUCAAGAGAUCUGAUGAUUUUCUACUUCCAUUUUCCCUGCUGACACUCAUUCUCUCUCCUGUUGCCCUGUGAAAAGGUGCUUUCUGCCAUGAUUGUAAGUUUCCUGAGGCCUCCCCAGCCAUGUGGAACUGUGAGUUAAUUAAACCUCUUUUCUUUAUAAAUCACACAGUUUUGGGUAUUUCUUCAUAGCAGCAUGAGAAUGGAUUAAUACAUGCAGUCUCAUCUGAAAGCUUGAGUAGGGAAGGAUUCUAUUCCAGGCUCACACGGUUCUUGGUAGGAUUCAGUGCCUUGUGGCCCAAGGGCCCCAGCUGUUAGCUGGCUGUUUGCUCAGAGGCUGCCUUUAGUUCCUCGCCAUGUGGGUCUCUCCAACAUGGCAACGUGCUUCAAGAUAAAACAUGUGAAGCCAAGAAGACAAGGGCCUCUUAGCAAGACAGAAGUCAUAAUCUGUUGUAAUCUAAUCACUGAGGUGAUAUACCCUCAAUGUAUAUCUGUAUUCUAUUGUUUAGAACCAAGAGGAGCAAGGGGAGUGGAUUAUGAACCAGGGCCAAAAAUAUUAGGACCAGGGAUCAUUAGGGUCAUCUUAAAAGCUGCCUAACACAAAUGUCACCAAGGGCAUAUGCUUGUAUCAAUUUUACUACAACCUUACUAACACUUAAUGCUUUAGUAUUUUAAAAUUACCAGUAUGGGCCAGGUGAAGUGACUCACGCCUGUAAUCCCAGCACUUUG
rnacentral:lncRNA from 10 species